GACGAACGCUGGCGGCGUGCUUAACACAUGCAAGUCGAACGGAAAGGCCCUGCUUUUGUGGGGUGCUCGAGUGGCGAACGGGUGAGUAACACGUGAGUAACCUGCCCUUGACUUUGGGAUAACUUCAGGAAACUGGGGCUAAUACCGGAUAGGAGCUCCUGCUGCAUGGUGGGGGUUGGAAAGUUUCGGCGGUUGGGGAUGGACUCGCGGCUUAUCAGCUUGUUGGUGGGGUAGUGGCUUACCAAGGCUUUGACGGGUAGCCGGCCUGAGAGGGUGACCGGCGACAAGGGGACUGAGAUACGGCGCAGAAGCGUACGGGAGGCAGCAGGGGGGAGUAUUGCACAAUGGGCGGAAGCGUGAGGCGGCGACGCCGCGUGCGGGAUGACGGCCUUCGGGUUGUAAACCGCUGUCGCCUGUGACGAAGCGUGAGUGACGGUAAUGGGUAAAGAAGCACCGGCUAACUACGUG
rnacentral:rRNA from 1 species